GAUGGCCACACACACGAACGCACGCAUGGACACACACGCACAAACACCAAUGAGAACUACUAUCUAGGUUGAGGUACCGCAAGACCAUACAAACAUGCCGACAACCAUCCGUGGAGAUCAGUCGACAGAGGGCCGGACAACGGGCCGCACCAAAAAAACGCAUGGUUGCCAAGAAAGCGGCCACUGGAUUGAAUGGGGGCUCAGGGCAGUACCAUUCUGCUCAUCUGAUGAAGGUGCACAUGGAUCACAUUCAAACUGACAGAGAUCGAGUUAGAGGCAGACCAGCAGAAAGAGAAACAUUAUCGGAGGGCAGAGAUACGGGCGACAGCUGAUGCAUUGGUCCAGAACCAGGCAGCAUUGGCGGAGAGACAGGCGGAGAAUGGCGCUUUGAAGAGGGCGAGGAACAAGAUGGAGUUACAAUCCAUGCCAGGCACACCUGUGAGCUCUGGAACUCCACCUCCGACAGGC
rnacentral:lncRNA from 1 species